AACGAACGCUGGCGGCAUGCCUAACACAUGCAAGUCGAACGAGACCUUCGGGUCUAGUGGCGCACGGGUGCGUAACGCGUGGGAACCUGCCUUUAGGUUCGGAAUAACAGUGAGAAAUUACUGCUAAUACCGGAUGAUGUCUUCGGACCAAAGAUUUAUCGCCUUUAGAUGGGGCCCCGCGUUGGAUUAGCUAGUUGGUGGGGUAAAGGCCUACCAAGGCGACGAUCCAUAGCUGGUCUGAGAGGAUGAUCAGCCACACUGGGACUGAGACACGGCCCAGACUCCUACGGGAGGCAGCAGUGGGGAAUAUUGGACAAUGGGCGAAAGCCUGAUCCAGCAAUGCCGCGUGAGUGAUGAAGGCCUUAGGGUUGUAAAGCUCUUUUACCCGAGAUGAUAAUGACAGUAAUCGGGAGAAUAAGCUCCGGCUAACUCCGUGCCAGCAGCCGCGGU
rnacentral:rRNA from 1 species